GACGAACGCUGGCGGCGUGCUUAACACAUGCAAGUCGAACGGAAAGGCCCUGCUUUUGUGGGGUGCUCGAGUGGCGUACGGGUGAGUAACACGUGAGUAACCUGCCCUUGACUUUGGGAUAACUUCAGGAAACUGGGGCUAAUACCGGAUAGGAGCUCCUGCUGCGUGGUGGGGGUUGGAAAGUUUCGGCGGUUGGGGAUGGACUCGCGGCUUAUCAGCUUGUUGGUGGGGUAGUGGCUUACCAAGGCUUUGACGGGUAGCCGGCCUGAGAGGGUGACCGGCCACAUUGGGACUGAGAUACGGCCCAGACUCCUACGGGAGGCAGCAGUGGGGAAUAUUGCACAAUGGGCGGAAGCCUGAUGCAGCAACGCCGCGUGCGGGAUGACGGCCUUCGGGUUGUAAACCGCUUUCGCCUGUGACGAAGCGUGAGUGACGGUAAUGGGUAAAGAAGCACCGGCUAACUACGUG
rnacentral:rRNA from 1 species